rnacentral:lncRNA from 1 species
ACAUAGGGAGGGAGAAAGGAGGCUCCAGGAAGAAUCGGAAUGAGAACUGAUGAGGACCUGAACUGCAGCAGGAGGAGAGAGAGUGGCGAGGACGUCUCACGUGUGAGGACGUCUCACGUGCUGUCAUGUCAUUUAUUGGCACCACCUUCAACACAACUACUCAAGCCCAGUUGCUGAGCAUCAUCUGGAAUCCUUUCACCUUCCCAUGCACAAUCCUUGAGAUCCGGAGAUGCUACCUCCAAAAGGCAACCAAAAAAUCUAACGACGACUCACUAUCUUCCCAUCUACUGUCCAGUUGUGUAUAUAUGCGUCUAUGGACCAGGUAGUGUGUCAAAGGUAUUUCUUAGCUGUAGGGUUGCAGCAAAAAAGUUUGGAAGCUAUUCAUUGCCCAUUAGGCAAUUAAAGAGUAAAGAUGUGGCCCCUGCCUACAUCUUUAAUCUCAUCUUCUGUCAUCUCCCCCUCUUUGCUCCUUUAGUCCCUGGAAAGUGGUAAGCUCUUUCCUGCCUUGGGGCCUUAGUAUUUGCUGUUAACUCUACCUGGAACAUUCUCCUUAUCUUUCCCAUGGCUGAUUCACUGCCAUCCUUCAAGUCUCAGUUUAAUGUCAUAUCCUCAGAGAGGCCCCCCAUCCAUAUUAUGUAAACCAUGUCUUCUUCCCAUCACUACACGCUAUGGUCUGAAAGUUUGCAUCUCCCCAAAAUUCAUAUAUUGAAACCUAAUCCCCAAUGCAAUAGGAUUAAGAGGCGGGACCUUUAGGAAAUAAUUAGGUCUUGAGGGUAAAGCCCUCAUGAAUGGGAUUAGUGCUUUUAUAUAAUAAAAGAGGCCUGAAGAAGCUUAUUAGCCCCUUCUGCCAUGUGAAGACUCAUAGAAAGUGCCAUCUAUGAGGAAGCAGGCCCUCACCAGACAUCAAUGCUGCUGCCUUGAUCUUGGGCUUCCCAGCCUCCAGAACUGUGAACAAUGAAUUUCUGUUGUUUAUAAGUUACCUAUCUAAGGUAUUUUGUUAUAACAGUCCAAAUGGACUAAGCCCUAAAGGACUUUUUCUAAUGAAUAGCUACAGGUUGAUUUACGAUCAGUUUUUUUAUGAGACUGUAAGCCUUCUGAGGUCAGUAAUGGUGUGUGUAUGUGACUGUACCCUGCAUCUGCAUCCUACUUUUACCUAACAAAAAGAGCCUCACAGAAAGCUUUGGCAAUUAAUGACAGCCUGUAGAGUUCUGUAUUCAUAGAAGCAGUAGGGGUACAUGCUGCAGUGGGUAGAAUUGUGUUCCCCAAAAAGAGAUGCUCAAGCCCUAACCCUGGUAUCUACGAAUGUGAUCUUAUUUGGAAAUAGGGUCUUUGCAGAUAUAAUUAGUUAAGAUCAGGUCAUACUAGAGUAGGAUGGGCCCUUAAUCCAAUAUGACUGGUGUCAUUAUAAGAAGAGGAAGAGAUACACAAGGGCACACACCAGGAGAAUGUCAUGUGACAAUGGAAGCAGAGAUUGGAGAGCUGUGUCUAUAAGCCAAGUAACAUCAAGGAUUGCUGGCAACACCAAAAGCUAAGAGAAAGGCGUGGAACGGACUCCCACCUUGAGCCUUCAGAGACAGCGUGGACCUACUGACACCUUGACUUCAGACUUCUAGCCAGAACUUUGAGAGAAUAAAUUUCUGUUUUUUAAGAAAAAAAAAAAAAAAAAAAAAAA